GCUUCACAUGUGGACGCUUUCGUUGUCUCUGAAGAGCCUUCACCAGAAAUUUCUCAACAUUUGUGUGUAAUUUAUGAGAAUCUUCACUUCCAUUCUGGUAGUAAACAGCGCAGAUAUUGACGAGAACAGGCCAUGUCUGUCCAACUUGGCCUAUUCACUUCAUCUCCUGAAUUCAGAUUUAUCUUUUUGCUCGGUUAAACAAGAAAUGUCACCCAUCUGGGUACAGUCCGUCGUAUUUAAGUGCGAGGAAGUCCUGCUUUGUAAUAUUUUAAUGGAAAAUAUUGUUAUU